rnacentral:rRNA from 1 species
CGCUAGCGGGAGGCUUAACACAUGCAAGUCGAGGGGCAGCAUAAGGUAGCAAUACUUUGAUGGCGACCGGCGCACGGGUGAGUAACGCGUAUGUAACCUACCUUGUACAGGGGGAUAGCCCGGAGAAAUUCGGAUUAAUACCCCAUAAUGAUAUUGAGAGGCAUCUUUUAAUAUUUAAAGUUUCGACGGUACGAGAUGGGCAUGCGUGACAUUAGCUAGUUGGUAAGGUAACGGCUUACCAAGGCUUCGAUGUCUAGGGGUCCUGAGAGGGUGAUCCCCCACACUGGUACUGAGACACGGACCAGACUCCUACGGGAGGCAGCAGUGAGGAAUAUUGGUCAAUGGGCGUAAGCCUGAACCAGCCAUCCCGCGUGAAGGAAGAAGGCGCUAUGCGUCGUAAACUUCUUUUCCAGAGGAAUAAAAUUUUGUACGAGUACAGAACUGAAGGUACUCUGGGAAUAAGCAUCGGCUAACUCCGUGCCAGCAGCCGCGGUAAUACGGAGGAUGCAAGCGUUAUCCGGAUUUAUUGGGUUUAAAGGGUGCGUAGGCGGAUUAAUAAGUCAGUGGUGAAAACCUUCAGCUUAACUGGAGAACUGCCAUUGAUACUGUUAGUCUUGAGUACGGUCAAGGUAGGCGGAAUGUGUAAUGUAGCGGUGAAAUGCUUAGAUAUUACACAGAACACCGAUUGCGAAGGCAGCUUACUGGGCCAUUACUGACGCUGAGGCACGAAAGCGUGGGGAGCGAACAGGAUUAGAUACCCUGGUAGUCCACGCCCGUAAACGAUGAUCACUCGCUGUUGGCGAUACACAGUCAG